UACAGGGGGUGCAAACGUUGCUCGGAAUCAUUGGGCGUAAAGCGCGCGUAGGCGGUUACUUAAGUCGGAUGUGAAAGCCCUUGGCUCAACCAAGGAAGUGCACCCGAAACUGAGUAGCUUGAGUACGAAAGAGGGUCGCGGAAUUCCCGGUGUAGAGGUGAAAUUCGUAGAUAUUAGGAAGAACACCAGUGGCGAAGGCGGCUCACUGGCCCGGUACUGACGCUGAGGCGCGAAAGCGUGGGGAGCAAACAGG
rnacentral:rRNA from 1 species